rnacentral:rRNA from 1 species
CAACGCGAAGAACCUUACCUGGUCUUGACAUCCACGGAAGUUUUCAGAGAUGAGAAUGUGCCUUCGGGAACCGUGAGACAGGUGCUGCAUGGCUGUCGUCAGCUCGUGUUGUGAAAUGUUGGGUUAAGUCCCGCAACGAGCGCAACCCUUAUCCUUUGUUGCCAGCGGUCCGGCCGGGAACUCAAAGGAGACUGCCAGUGAUAAACUGGAGGAAGGUGGGGAUGACGUCAAGUCAUCAUGGCCCUUACGACCAGGGCUACACACGUGCUACAAUGGCGCAUACAAAGAGAAGCGACCUCGCGAGAGCAAGCGGACCUCAUAAAGUGCGUCGUAGUCCGGAUUGGAGUCUGCAACUCGACUCCAUGAAGUCGGAAUCGCUAGUAAUCGUGGAUCAGAAUGCCACGGUGAAUACGUUCCCGGGCCUUGUACACACCGCCCGUCACACCAUGGGAGUGGGUUGCAAAAGAAGUAGGUAGCUUAACCUUCGGGAGGGCGCUUACCACUUUGUGAUUCAUGACUGGGGUGAAGUCGUAACAAGGUAACCGUAGGGGAACCUGCGGUUGGAUCACCUCCUUACCUUAAAGAAGCGUUCUUUGUAGUGCUCACACAGAUUGUCUGAUGAAAAUGAGCAGUAAAACCUCUACAGGCUUGUAGCUCAGGUGGUUAGAGCGCACCCCUGAUAAGGGUGAGGUCGGUGGUUCAAGUCCACUCAGGCCUACCAAAUUUGCACGGCAAAUUUGAAGAGGUUUUAACUACAUGUUAUGGGGCUAUAGCUCAGCUGGGAGAGCGCCUGCUUUGCACGCAGGAGGUCUGCGGUUCGAUCCCGCAUAGCUCCACCAUCUCUGUAGUGAUUAAAUAAAAAAUACUUCAGAGUGUACCUGCAGAGGUUCACUGCGAAGUUUUGCUCUUUAAAAAUCUGGAUCAAGCUGAAAAUUGAAACACUGAACAACGAGAGUUGUUCGUGAGUCUCUCAAAUUUUCGCAACACGAUGAUGAAUCGAAAGAAACAUCUUCGGGUUGUGAGGUUAAGCGACUAAGCGUACACGGUGGAUGCCCUGGCAGUCAGAGGCGAUGAAGGACGUGCUAAUCUGCGAUAAGCGUCGGUAAGGUGAUAUGAACCGUUAUAACCGGCGAUUUCCGAAUGGGGAAACCCAGUGUGAUUCGUCACACUAUCAUUAACUGAAUCCAUAGGUUAAUGAGGCGAACCGGGGGAACUGAAACAUCUAAGUACCCCGAGGAAAAGAAAUCAACCGAGAUUCCCCCAGUAGCGGCGAGCGAACGGGGAGGAGCCCAGAGCCUGAAUCAGUGUGUGUGUUA